rnacentral:rRNA from 1 species
CAGCAGCCGCGGGAAUACAGAGGUCCCGAGCGUUGUUCGGAUUCACUGGGCGUAAAGGGUGUGUAGGAGGUUGGAUAAGUCAGGUGUGAAAUCCCGCAGCUCAACUGCGGAACUGCAUUCGAUACUGUUCAACUAGAGGAUCGGAGGGGGAAGCGGAAUUCUUGGUGUAGCGGUGAAAUGCGUAGAUAUCAAGAGGAACACCGGUGGCGAAGGCGGCUUCCUGGAAGAUACCUGACUCUGAAACACGAAAGCCAGGGGAGCGAAUGGGAUUAGAUACCCGCGUAGUCCCUGUCUCUUAUAA